rnacentral:rRNA from 1 species
AUUGAACGCUGGCGGCAUGCCUAACACAUGCAAGUCGAACGGCAGCACGGUCUAGUUUACUAGAUGGGUGGCGAGUGGCGCACGGGUGAGUAAUACGUAGGAAUAUACCUUAAAGAGGGGGAUAACUUGGGGAAACUCAAGCUAAUACCGCAUACUUUCUAAGGAGGAAAGCUGGGGACCAUUUGGCCUGGCGCUUUAAGAUUAGCCUACGUCCGAUUAGCUAGUUGGUAGGGUAAAGGCCUACCAAGGCGACGAUCGGUAGCUGGUCUGAGAGGAUGAUCAGCCACACUGGGACUGAGACACGGCCCAGACUCCUACGGGAGGCAGCAGUGGGGAAUAUUGGACAAUGGGGGCAACCCUGAUCCAGCGAUGCCGCGUGUGUGAAGAAGGCCUACGGGUUGUAAAGCACUUUCGGUGGGGAGGAGGGCUUAUAGGUUAAGAGCUGAUAAGUUGGACGUUACCCACAAAAGAAGCACCGGCUAACUCCGUGCCAGCAGCCGCGGUAA